UUCUGGUGAUGUCUAAUCUCCUCUAAUAUUCCCAAAAUUCAAAAUUAAAAAGCAUUUUUGUCUGAUGUGAACGGUUGCAUAUAUUGUAUAAAGCAGUCUUCAAUCUGAUGAGUCAGCAUUAGUUGUUAACAAAAUUCGUUACGCUCCUCUAUUUCACACUGAAUGGCUUUAAUGUUACCAAAAUUCACCCUGAUUGUCUAAUCUCCUCUGUUUCAUACUCUAGAAAGCACUUUGGUCUGAUGUGAACAGUUGUGAAUAUAGAGUAAGGUCACCGCAUCCCAUAAGGCAGCAUAACUGGUUACCAAAAUCUGGUCCUCCUCCUCUAAUUAAUGAGGAAAGUACAGAUCAGUUUGUGAUUGGUUGUUCGUGUUCAUUUCACAAUGCGCGUUAAAGAAGCCUAUACCGAAGAAAAUGAAUGGUUUAAUUGGACAGCAUAUUAUUCAUCUAAUUAGCCAACAUAGCAACUGUGUAAUCAUAAAUCACAUAUACUGCAUUCACUGUGCUGUUUUCCUUCUGGAUUAGAAGAUUAUUAUUGAACAAUUACAGGUUGCAACUGCACCCACGCUUUUCCUUCACUUCAGAGUUGCCCAGGGUGAUGAUUUGUUUUGAAACAACCUUGCAAAAUGAGCACCAUGCAGAGGUGUCUUGAGAACGCCUUGGCUGCCCUUUCAGGGUCCUUAAAGUCAUUGUAGCAUGUAAUUGUGGCAGGAGUGCCAGCGAAAGAGAAUUGGAUGGUAGAAUGUAUUGGUGCAAACAGGGGUUUCAACAGUAAUAGAUGCCUCUUAAUAAAGGCUGAGCAAUUUUGUGUUCAAUAACAAUCCAGUUUUCACCCUGGAAAUUGACCUGGUGGUAUGAACAGUGGAAAAUACUUGUUGAGUUGCUGGGAAAAAACUUCAGGAGUAGGAGUAGAAUUAUUUUUUUUUUUUUUUUAUCUGUCUAUCUGUCUGUCUGUCUGUAUUAUCUAUCUAUAUAUCUAUCUAUAUCAUUUGUUUGUGCUAUUCCAUAUUUCUCUUACAGAAACAUGGCUGUGAUGAUCUUAUUGACUCAUGUAGAUUUGUCACAGGUGUAUUCAUCUGUUUUCCUGAAUGAGGUAAGCUACUGUUUGUUUCAGAAGACCUCAAGAAGCAAUAAGGAUUGAUGUGACUGAAAUUACAAAAAGCAGAAACUAUCUGGAUGAUAUUCCAGCAGCAAAACCCUGGAGUGCACUAUGAAUUCAUUCUCUCUGUAGAAAACCGUUGAAGCCCACGGCAUCCUCAUUACAACAGACCUGGAGUGCUCAACUCCAUGUGGAACAAGUCAAAGGUCACAAGAGGUUGUUCAUGUGAGUAAUACAGGUGAAAUAGCGCCUGAUGAGGAAUGCAGUAUAAGUUUAUGGCCCAGUGAUGUGGAGAACUGUGAUAUGGGCCCAGUUUUUAAAUGAGUGGAGCGGGUAUUGAAAAAAAUGAACACACACACACACAAACCUCAAGUCGCUAAUGUGGCAAGGGACUCAGUAGCACCAAGAAAUAGAUUACAUUUCAGAGUAAUUGCCAAACGCACUGCUGAUAAUGUUCUUUUCCAUGUCUGUAGUGUUCUGAUGGCCGUCGUUCUGGUGUGGGAACCCAAUGGACAGUUUGUCUUUAGAGGGAUGAGAGUCAAAGUGCAGCACAGUGCAGUAACAGCAGCUCCUGCAACAGUUAAAUACAGGGAUUCAUCAAACAGUGACCUCAGAAUGGCAGCACAUCUGAAAGGUUUGUUUGAGCUGCGUCCACAUCCCCUUCAGAUGUUGGAACAUUUCCUGUACUUGGUAAAAUCACAUGCACAGGAUGUGUCAGUGUUGUGCAGUGGUCCGGUCAGCCAGCAGAGGCCAGUAGUGUGAGGGACUCACUGUACUGCCUCCACCUCAGUGUGCCUCGGAGAGCUGCCUCUGAAGCUGCUACCUCAUAGCCUGUGGGCCAGGUGCUCUCACACUGACUGUCCUGUGAGGAUACAUUUUCUUUUUCACUCUCCAAUAAAUCACCAUUAAUAUUGACUUUCUGGGCUGACUCACUUUCUUCAUCUAAAUUUAGAAGACAGAGGCAGCCAUCUAAAUCUAGUUAGAGGACAGAAAAUGCCAUCCUUUGAGAAAGAUCUAUUCAUUUU